ACCGGCAUGGUGGUGCUUGCCUGUAGUCCCAGCUACUCGGGAGGCUGAGGCUGGAGGAUCACUUGAGUCCAGGAGUUCUGGGCUGCGGGGCACUCUGCCAAUCGGGUGUCUGCACUAAGUUCAGCAUCAAUAUGGUGACCUCAAUAUCAGGGGACCACCAGGUUGCCUAAGGAGGGGUGAACAGGCCCAGGUCAGAAACAGAGCAGGUCAAAACUCCCGUGCUGAUCAGUAGUGGGAUCACACCUGUGAAUAGCCACUGCACUCCAGCCUGGGCAACACAGCAAGACCCCAUCUCUU
ensembl:misc_RNA Metazoa_SRP Metazoan signal recognition particle RNA